rnacentral:rRNA from 1 species
GAUGAACACUGGCGGCGUGCCUAAUACAUGCAAGUCGAGCGAACAGACGAGGAGCUUGCUCCUCUGACGUUAGCGGCGGACGGGUGAGUAACACGUGGAUAACCUACCUAUAAGACUGGGAUAACUUCGGGAAACCGGAGCUAAUACCGGAUAAUAUAUUGAACCGCAUGGUUCAAUAGUGAAAGACGGUUUUGCUGUCACUUAUAGAUGGAUCCGCGCCGCAUUAGCUAGUUGGUAAGGUAACGGCUUACCAAGGCGACGAUGCGUAGCCGACCUGAGAGGGUGAGCGGCCACACUGGAACUGAGACACGGUCCAGACUCCUACGGGAGGCAGCAGUAGGGAAUCUUCCGCAAUGGGCGAAAGCUUGACGGAGCAACGCCGCGUGAGUGAUGAAGGUCUUCGGAUCGUAAAACUCUGUUAUUAGGGAAGAACAAAUGUGUAAGUAACUAUGCACGUCUUGACGGUACCUAAUCAGAAAGCCACGGCUAACUACGUG